rnacentral:snoRNA from 1 species
GUCCACGUUACCAUGGGAGCUGUGUUUUUUAAUGGCAGUCUCCCUUCCUAGGCGUGGUACAGCAAAUCCUUUCUCUUAUUCAGAUGCUCUCUUGUGCUGUUGUCACAAGCGGCAGGAUAUAAGAAGGAACA